UAAUGGCCUACCAAGGCGACGACGGGUAGCCGGCCUGAGAGGGUGAUCGGCCACACUGGGACUGAGACACGGCCCAGACUCCUACGGGAGGCAGCAGUGGGGAAUAUUGCACAAUGGGCGGAAGCCUGAUGCAGCGACGCCGCGUGGGGGAUGACGGUCUUCGGAUUGUAAACUCCUUUCAGUAGGGACGAAGCGAGAGUGACGGUACCUGCAGAAGAAGCACCGGCCAACUACGUGCCAGCAGCCGCGGUAAUACGUAGGGUGCAAGCGUUGUCCGGAAUUACUGGGCGUAAAGAGCUCGUAGGCGGUUUGUCACGUCGUCUGUGAAAUCCUCCAGCUCAACUGGGGGCGUGCAGGCGAUACGGGCAGACUUGAGUACUACAGGGGAGACUGGAAUUCCUGGUGUAGCGGUGAAAUGCGCAGAUAUCAGGAGGAACACCGGUGGCGAAGGCGGGUCUCUGGGUAGUAACUGACGCUGAGGAGCGAAAGCAUGGGGAGCGAACAGGAUUAGAUACCCUGGUAGUCCAUGCCGUAAACGGUGGGCGCUAGGUGUGGGGUCCUUCCACGGAUUCCGUGCCGUAGCUAACGCGUUAAGCG
rnacentral:rRNA from 1 species